CUCUAGCCCGGAUGGCAGCGGCAUCCUUUAUGGAGCGCAGCGGAGUAAAGAUACAGCGGACAGCCGGAAUAGCU
rnacentral:sRNA from 1 species